UUCCUGAGACAAGUGUUUGUCAUGAGACCUGAAGUCUGCAUCAUUUUUUCAAAUAUUUGUUAAACUUUUUAUAAUUUUUGUUCUCUCCAGGAAAGGUUGCAGAUGCUAACAAAGUCCAAACACUUCUAUUUAGUGCUACCCUUCCUGAUUGGGUGAAGAAGAUAUCAGCAAGAUUCCUAAAACCGCUGAAAAAAACUGUUGAUCUUGUUGGUAAUGAGAAAUUGAAAGCUAGUGCCAGUGUUAGACAUCUGGUUCUCCCCUGUUCCAGUGCAGCAAGGCCACACAUUAUUCCUGACCUCAUUCGUUGCUACAGCCGUGGCGGGCGUACAAUUAUUUUCACAGAGA